AUGGCCUGCACCAGCACGGCCGGCCGAGAUGACGACGACAAACACACAACUCCACCUGGUGCAGCGCACACGUCGCGUACUCCACUGAACCGGGUCUAUAUCAUCACCUCGCACCUGGCAAGUCCCAUCUCACCACGGUUCACUGCUAUAAUGGCUUCCGAGGACUCUGCCGCGCCCGUCGUCGUGGACGACUGCCGGGGCGUGCUGUUGGUGUACAGCGACGGGGCCGUGGUGCGCAGGGAUGGGCCGAGCUUCGCCACGCCGGUGCGGGACGACGGCACCGUGGAGUGGAAGGACGCCGAGUUCGACGCGCCCCGCGGGCUGGGACUCCGGCUCUACAGGCCGCGCCAGCGGAACCAGCUCCUACCGGCCGCCGACUUUACUCGGGUGUUUAUCUCUGGUGACUCCGCGGGAGGCACCAUUGCCCACCACCUGGCCGUGCGUUUCGGCUCCGCGGCCGGGCGCUCUGAGCUGGGCAACGUACGCGUCAGGGGCUACGUCCAACUCAUGCCCUUCUUCGGCGGCACGGAACGGACGAGGUCCGAGGCGGAGUGCCCCGACGACGCGUUCCUCAACCGCCCGCUCAACGACCGCUACUGGCGCCUCUCGCUGCCUCCCGGCGCCACGGUCGACCACCCGGCCUCCAACCCGUUCGGGCCGGACAGCCCGGCGCUGGAGGCGGUGGAGCUGGCCCCGACGCUGGUGGUGGUCGGAGGCCGCGACAUCCUCCGUGACAGGGCCGUGGACUACGCCGCGAGGCUGCGGGCGAUGGGGAAGCCGGUGGGGGUGAGGGAGUUCGAGGGGCAGCAGCACGGCUUCUUCACCAUCGACCCAUGGUCCGCCGCGUCUGCGGAGCUCAUGCGCGCGCUCAAGCGCUUCAUCGACACCGACGGGCGCUUCGACUAG
rnacentral:rRNA from 1 species